rnacentral:rRNA from 1 species
GAUGAACGCUAGCGGGAGGCCUAACACAUGCAAGCCGAGCGGUAUUGUUUCUUCGGAAAUGAGAGAGCGGCGUACGGGUGCGGAACACGUGUGCAACCUGCCUUUAUCUGGGGGAUAGCCUUUCGAAAGGAAGAUUAAUACUCCAUAACAUAUUGAUUGGCAUCAAUUAAUAUUGAAAGCUCCGGCGGAUAGAGAUGGGCACGCGCAAGAUUAGCUAGUUGGUGAGGUAACGGCUCACCAAGGCGAUGAUCUUUAGGGGGCCUGAGAGGGUGAUCCCCCACACUGGUACUGAGACACGGACCAGACUCCUACGGGAGGCAGCAGUGAGGAAUAUUGGUCAAUGGGUGCAAGCCUGAACCAGCCAUCCCGCGUGAAGGACGACUGCCCUAUGGGUUGUAAACUUCUUUUGUAUAGGGAUAAACCUACCCUCGUGAGGGUAGCUGAAGGUACUAUACGAAUAAGCACCGGCUAACUCCGUGCCAGCAGCCGCGGUAAUACGGAGGGUGCAAGCGUUAUCCGGAUUUAUUGGGUUUAAAGGGUCCGUAGGCGGACUUAUAAGUCAGUGGUGAAAGCCUGUCGCUUAACGAUAGAACUGCCAUUGAUACUGUAAGUCUUGAGUAUAUUUGAGGUAGCUGGAAUAAGUAGUGUAGCGGUGAAAUGCAUAGAUAUUACUUAGAACACCAAUUGCGAAGGCAGGUUACCAAGAUAUAACUGACGCUGAGGGGCGAAAGCGUGGGGAGCGAACAGGAUUAGAUACCCUGGUAGUCCACGCCGUAAACGAUGCUAACUCGUUUUUGGGCUUUAGGGUUCAGAGACCAAGCGAAAGUGAUAAGUUAGCCACCUGGGGAGUACGCUCGCAAGAGUGAAACUCAAAGGAAUUGACGGGGGCCCGCACAAGCGGUGGAUUAUGUGGUUUAAUUCGAUGAUACGCGAGGAACCUUACCAAGACUUAAAUGGGAAUUGACAGCUUUAGAAAUAGAGCUUUCUUCGGACAAUUUUCAAGGUGCUGCAUGGUUGUCGUCAGCUCGUGCCGUGAGGUGUUAGGUUAAGUCCUGCAACGAGCGCAACCCCUGUCACUAGUUGCCAUCAUUCAGUUGGGGACUCUAGUGAGACUGCCUACGCAAGUAGAGAGGAAGGUGGGGAUGACGUCAAAUCAUCACGGCCCUUACGUCUUGGGCCACACACGUAAUACAAUGGCCGGUACAGAGGGCAGCUACACAGCGAUGUGAUGCAAAUCUCGAAAGCCGGUCUCAGUUCGGAUUGGAGUCUGCAACUCGACUCUAUGAAGCUGGAAUCGCUAGUAAUCGCGCAUCAGCCAUGGCGCGGUGAAUACGUUCCCGGGCCU